UACGUAGGGCGCAAGCGUUAUCCGGAAUUAUUGGGCGUAAAGAGCUCGUAGGCGGUUUGUCGCGUCUGCCGUGAAAGUCCGGGGCUCAACUCCGGAUCUGCGGUGGGUACGGGCAGACUAGAGUGAUGGUAGGGGGAGACUGGAAUUCCUGGUGUAGCGGUGAAAAUGCGCAGAUAUCAGGAGGAACACCGAUGGCGAAGGCAGGUCUCUGGGCCACUACUGACGUGAGAAGCGAAAAGCAUGGGGGAGCGAACAGG
rnacentral:rRNA from 1 species